rnacentral:rRNA from 1 species
UGCUGGAGGUAUCAGAAGUGCGAAUGCUGACAUAAGUAACGAUAAAGCGGGUGAAAAGCCCGCUCGCCGGAAGACCAAGGGUUCCUGUCCAACGUUAAUCGGGGCAGGGUGAGUCGACCCCUAAGGCGAGGCCGAAAGGCGUAGUCGAUGGGAAACGGGUUAAUAUUCCCGUACUUGGUGUUACUGCGAAGGGGGGACGGAGAAGGCUAUGUUGGCCGGGCGACGGUUGUCCCGGUUUAAGCGUGUAGGUGUGUGUUCCAGGUAAAUCCGGUUCACUUUAACACUGAGGCGUGACGACGAGGCACUACGGUGCUGAAGCAACAAAUGCCCUGCUUCCAGGAAAAGCCUCUAAGCAUCAGGUAACAUCAAAUCGUACCCCAAACCGACACAGGUGGUCAGGUAGAGAAUACCAAGGCGCUUGAGAGAACUCGGGUGAAGGAACUAGGCAAAAUGGUGCCGUAACUUCGGGAGAAGGCACGCUGACACGUAGGUGAAGUGAUUUACUCACGGAGCUGAAGUCAGUCGAAGAUACCAGCUGGCUGCAACUGUUUAUUAAAAACACAGCACUGUGCAAACACGAAAGUGGACGUAUACGGUGUGACGCCUGCCCGGUGCCGGAAGGUUAAUUGAUGGGGUCAGCGCAAGCGAAGCUCCUGAUCGAAGCCCCGGUAAACGGCGGCCGUAACUAUAACGGUCCUAAGGUAGCGAAAUUCCUUGUCGGGUAAGUUCCGACCUGCACGAAUGGCGUAAUGAUGGCCAGGCUGUCUCCACCCGAGACUCAGUGAAAUUGAACUCGCUGUGAAGAUGCAGUGUACCCGCGGCAAGACGGAAAGACCCCGUGAACCUUUACUAUAGCUUGACACUGAACAUUGAGCCUUGAUGUGUAGGAUAGGUGGGAGGCUUUGAAGUGUGGACGCCAGUCUGCAUGGAGCCGACCUUGAAAUACCACCCUUUAAUGUUUGAUGUUCUAACGUGGACCCGUAAUCCGGGUUGCGGACAGUGUCUGGUGGGUAGUUUGACUGGGGCGGUCUCCUCCUAAAGAGUAACGGAGGAGCACGAAGGUUGGCUAAUCCUGGUCGGACAUCAGGAGGUUAGUGCAAUGGCAUAAGCCAGCUUGACUGCGAGCGUGACGGCGCGAGCAGGUGCGAAAGCAGGUCAUAGUGAUCCGGUGGUUCUGAAUGGAAGGGCCAUCGCUCAACGGAUAAAAGGUACUCCGGGGAUAACAGGCUGAUACCGCCCAAGAGUUCAUAUCGACGGCGGUGUUUGGCACCUCGAUGUCGGCUCAUCACAUCCUGGGGCUGAAGUAGGUCCCAAGGGUAUGGCUGUUCGCCAUUUAAAGUGGUACGCGAGCUGGGUUUAGAACGUCGUGAGACAGUUCGGUCCCUAUCUGCCGUGGGCGCUGGAGAACUGAGGGGGGCUGCUCCUAGUACGAGAGGACCGGAGUGGACGCAUCACUGGUGUUCGGGUUGUCAUGCCAAUGGCACUGCCCGGUAGCUAAAUGCGGAAGAGAUAAGUGCUGAAAGCAUCUAAGCACGAAACUUGCCCCGAGAUGAGUUCUCCAUGAGACUUAGAGUCUCCUGAAGGAACGUUGAAGACGACGACGUUGAUAGGCCGGGUGUGUAAGGCAGCGAUGCGUUGGAGCUAACCGGUACUAAUGAACCGUGAGGCUUAACCUUACAACGCCAA